CAAUUUGUGUUAGGUGUUUUGACGACAGAGAGUCUUGUCAAACGUUUUCAGUACUGUCAACUGUCAAAAUGGAUGGUGAAAAUUUUGAAGACAUUGAGAACAUCGAUCCCAACAGAAGUGUGAAGUGUGAAAGUGUGAAAGUGUGGAGAAAUAGCAGUGACAAUGCUACCCCUGAAAAAACUACUGAUUGCUGAAGAAUAUUGCCAGAUGGCGUUUUUCGUUGUUAAUUUGAUCGCUUAAAUAAUCGAAAAAAAACAUGGUCUAACCAUGGAGGUCCCGGAACUGUUGUCUACUAGGCCUGAUUUGGGCUGUUCGUCUGCUAUUUCCGCGGACAAAUUUUGGGGCACUCGCUAGGGGCGCUGACAACCCGGAUCAGUCAUAACAUUUCCUCCAAAACGUUGUCAACAAUGGGGAAAGUAGUCGCUUAUGACUGUUUUCCGCGCUGUUUUCUUCUGGAUUAAAAAUAAAAAAAUUUACUACAAAAAAAGGAAACCUGAAUCAAUUCCUCUUUGUAUUACACGCCUUAAUAUACAUUAAUACACAUUAAUUGACCAUCUUA